UGGGGAAUAUUGCACAAUGGGGGAAACCCUGAUGCAGCGACGCCGCGUGAAGGAUGAAGUAUUUCGGUAUGUAAACUUCUAUCAGCAGGGAAGAAAAUGACGGUACCUGACUAAGAAGCCCCGGCUAACUACGUGCCAGCAGCCGCGGUAAUACGUAGGGGGCAAGCGUUAUCCGGAUUUACUGGGUGUAAAGGGAGCGUAGACGGCUGUGCAAGUCUGAUGUGAAAACCCGGGGCUCAACCCCGGGACUGCAUUGGAAACUGUGCAGCUAGAGUGUCGGAGAGGUAAGUGGAAUUCCUAGUGUAGCGGUGAAAUGCGUAGAUAUUAGGAGGAACACCAGUGGCGAAGGCGGCUUACUGGACGAUGACUGACGUUGAGGCUCGAAAGCGUGGGGAGCAAACAGG
rnacentral:rRNA from 2 species